ACAGCCAUUGUAAAUAAGUCC
rnacentral:siRNA from 1 species